CUCUAUCUCUCUUUAUGCUAACGCUUGGUCUCCCUUCUCUCUAGAACCUUAUGGUCCUUUCUCUUAUCUCUGAUGAAGCCACCACCUCUAUGGCAACCUCCAUUCUCACUUAUCUUGACCACCAGUUGCCGUGAAACUUUACCUAGUUGGUUCCAUCUAUCUUUGGGGUCCCAGGAUCCUCCACCAUGCGAGAUGGUCAGUGAAGAUUGGUCUGAUUUGUCUUUGACUCUUUGUCCGAUGGGUUAUGGUUCGAUGAUGCUACGAGCAUCAUUAUUAAUGCGUUUCACAACCAGGUUCCUUGCUUCUCACUGGUUUCUCACGAAACCCUACUCUCUACCCAAACUCUCUAAUCUUUGUAUUUUUUAACGAUUUUAACUUAUUCUUUGUGUAUUACACUAAUCUCUACUCGAUUUAUUCAAUUGUUCAAGCUUUCAACGUUUUGUUCUUCUUUUCAAAACUAGGAUUUCUGAACCCCUUUCGAAAUCGCUAUUUCUUAUUUUUAUGAGUAUUAUGUGUUUAUGUUUGUGUGAUCUUCUGGUUACUCUCCGAGUUCUAUGCUUUAGGGUUCCAACCUUCUACUGAUUCUGUGAUUGCUUGCAUAGGGUUCUUUGAUUUUCAUGCCUAUUGUCUUUCAUAGGUCUAAUUGUUCAUCAUUUACCAGAAUAUUCUGCUGAUUUUGUGCAUCUCUUCGAAUCCCUGAUUUGUAUAUGUUUUUCGUAGAAGUUUUACACUGAUUUUUUUGAAACACUUCCUUAUUGGUGAAAUGCUCUCCUUACUUAGUAUUGAUUCCCUGUGAUUUUCAAUUUCAUGCGUGUUUCUUUGAACUAAUUUCUGUGCACAAUAUGCUAUCAUUGUACUUUCCUCACUUGAAACGUUCUGUAUAUGACCUUUAUUAUAUGCCACACGAAGUUACUGCUCCAAUUGGGUUAAAGUC
rnacentral:lncRNA from 1 species